UCCCAGCGGUCCAAGUGGCAGCCGCGUUUAUUGGGUCUAAAACAUCCGUAGCUCGCAUCGUAAGUUUCAUGUGAAAUCUGGUCUCUCAAGGGCCAGGCGUGCAUGAAAUACUGCGUUGCUAGAGACCGGGAGACGUAAGAAGUACAGUUAGGGUAGCGGUAAAAUGCGUUGAUCCUUACUAGACUAACGAUAGCGAAGGCAUCUUACGAGAACGGAUCUGACAGUGAGGGAUGAAGGCUAGGGUCGCAAAACGG
rnacentral:rRNA from 1 species